rnacentral:rRNA from 1 species
UACGUAGGGGGCAAGCGUUGUCCGGAAUCAUUGGGCGUAAAGAGCGUGUAGGCGGUUCGAUAAGUCGGCUGUGAAAGUCCAGGGCUCAACCCUGGGAUGCCGGUCGAAACUGUCGGACUAGAGUUCGGAAGAGGCGAGUGGAAUUCCUGGUGUAGCGGUGAAAUGCGCAGAUAUCAGGAGGAACACCUAUGGCGAAGGCAGCUCGCUGGGACGGUACUGACGCUGAGACGCGAAAGCGUGGGGAGCGAACAGG